rnacentral:lncRNA from 1 species
UGGACCUCUCUUACAUCUGUUGCUGUGGAUAAGGUGGGAGUGGGGAUUGGUUUUGCCACAAGGACCUCAUCCUCCUUCUUGUGGUCUUCUCCAUGAGUCACAUUGUCCACCAGGCUACCCAGGACCUCUCCCCGAGUUUGACAGCGGGGCUUCAUCUGGAGCAUCUCCUCUGACCUCAUCUCAGGUUUGGCCUGUUUCUCUGACAGGCCACCUGCAACAUCAGCACUCAUCAGAGCCGUAGAGCCCAGAGGCUCAUGAGAAGGAACCGAUGGCUUGGGCUUGCUGGUCAGGAGCUGCUGGCCCUCCAUGGUUACCUUGAAAUGGAAGGAAAUUAUGACAUGAUUAUACCUCCACUGGAGACUGGUGAUGUUGACAUUGUGUAAUGCUCAGCUCUCUACAAACUCCCUGCUCGAUCUCAAGGAGUCUAUGGCAGCAUGGCUACAUCACUGCCACAUCUCAUAUGGCCUUUUGGAAAGUUCCUUUGGCAAGUUGGACGCACGUACGCUUGUUGACGAGUAGUGGUUGGAAAAGACAAGGCAAUUUACGUGUUUAUUCAAUAUCCUCCCAUUAUUAACAGAUAGGCACAUAAUAAAAUGUCCACCUGGAAUAAAACAAAUAAAACAACUCCUUUGCCUCCAUUGUGUUCAUCUUUACCUGAAAACACCCCACACAAAGUAUGACCCACACCAACUAAAACGAAAUAUGCCCUGCACGCAAAACACUGUGUAAACCUUGCAUUGUUCAAUGGAAAUGAUUAAGAAAGAGAACCAAUUAGAAGAUAUUUAUAGAUUGGUCAAUGUUUUACAGUCAGGGAUAUUCCUGGGA